rnacentral:lncRNA from 10 species
UUAAAGCUUUUCACUUUAAUGCUAUGCAAAACAGCUGCAUAAGUAAUAUUUUUAGGACCCUCCUCACUCAGACCCCAUACCAAGCAUCAGAAAUACCUGCCAUUACCUAAUCGAUGGAGUCUCAGUCUGUCACUAAGGCUGGAGUGCAGUGGCGCGAUCUCGGCUCACUGCAACCUCCACCUCCCGGGUUCACGCGAUUCUCCAGCCUCAGCCUUCCACGUAGCUGGGACUACAGGUGCAUGCCACCACACCCAGUGUUGUGAACCACUUGUCAUGGGAUAACCAAAAUUAAACCUGGAAUCGCAGAAGAAACAAAUUUUUUGAAGAAAUUGGAUGUACUUUUUUAAAAUUUUUCAUUCAACUAAAACUUUGUUAACUGUUUCUUGGUUGUGGUCUUCUCUAAAUUGUAAUCUUUGGCAUUCACUUCCAAAGUAUCCACCACUAAACUUCAUAACAUUUAUUGUGUCUCUUCAUCAUUAAACUUUGAUGAAUUUACAGAGUGUCUUUUGAAAUUAUGUUCUUGAGAAAGCCAGGGGAUUGGACGGUGUCAUGGAAAUGUCAAAGAAAAAGUGACACCUGAGAGAAAAUUUGAAAGAUGAAAGGUGCACAUCAUGGAGACAAUCUGACUGGUACAGAGAAAUGAAGAGACAACAUUUUCUUUCCAAAUCUGAGUGGAGAUGAUAGAAGAGGCCCUGGUUAGCAGCUUCAGAUGAUGGAUACAUAAAAAUGGGAGAGAGAAAACAUAUAAGAGUGACUAAUUGUUGAGUUUCCAGGGCUCAAACCAAUCUUGAAUUGGAAUUUCAAGACAUAAAAACCACUGCAGGAACCUGCUGGAGAAACGGCCUCUGGUAUCUCUAUCUGAAAUAUGAUUAUCUUAAGUUCGCAAAGCAUUGUGUCUGCAGUGUGAGUUUGAAAACAACAAUGUUAAGGCAACUUCGCAGCUUCUUAAUCAAGCCCUUCUCCAUCUCUCCGUGUGGUUUUUGGGGUGGUGGAGGUGGAGCCAAAAAAGAGAGGGCAGUUUCCCAGGGCUGAAGAUGCUACCAUGACUCAUAGGAUCUAUGCAAACCCUGUGAGUGAAUUCUGAGGAAGAAGAAUGAGUAAUAUUUUGAUUUUAUUACUGAUGGUAAUAAGAUAGUAUCAUCAGUGUGGUAUAUUCUGAUUACUGAAUUCUAUUCCCUAUUUUCUUCCUGUGGCCAAAUAAAAUUUGUGUGUGUAAGCUAUGAUAUUUAGUGUUGUUAUCUGAUGAGACAGGUUUAGUGGAAAAGUUCAUUUUAAAUAAACAUUAAAAUUGUUUCAGCCUCAGAUUUUUAAUCCAAAUCAUUCCUUUGACACCAGAAGAAUUUUCCUCAGAGUCAACUCCAAAGAUAAAGCUGCCUGUUUUCCUAUUUGCCCAGAAGUAAAGAGGUUGCAAAA